AACGAACGCUGGCGGCAUGCCUAACACAUGCAAGUCGAACGAACCCUUCGGGGUGAGUGGCGCACGGGUGCGUAACACGUGGGAACCUGCCCUUAGGUUCGGAAUAACACAGAGAAAUUUGUGCUAAUACCGGAUAAUGUCUUCGGACCAAAGAUUUAUCGCCUUUGGAUGGGCCCGCGUAGGAUUAGCUAGUUGGGGAGGUAAAGGCUCACCAAGGCGACGAUCCUUAGGUGGUCUUAGAGGAUGAUCAUCCACACUGGGACUGGGACACGGCCCAGACUCCUACGGGAGGCAGCAGUGGGGAAUAUUGGACAAUGGGCGAAAGCCUGAUCCAGCAAUGCCGCGUGAGUGAUGAAGGCCUUAGGGUUGUAAAGCUCUUUUACCUGGGAUGAUAAUGACAGUACCAGGAGAAUAAGCCCCGGCUAACUCCGUGCCAGCAGCCGCAGUAAUAC
rnacentral:rRNA from 1 species